rnacentral:misc_RNA from 1 species
AUAAUAAUUUCACCGAUAAAUGUGGUAUUGGUCAAUGUGAGUCUAGCACUUUGCUGGGCUGGUCUCACUCGGCUGAAAUGGAUAGGCCAGAGAAACUACAACUUGGCAACAGACUCUCAGAGUGUUUUUGAAUGCUAAACUAGUCUUGUUACAUGUUGAAAUCUGCGCUUAAGGACCCCCCUUUUAGUCCAAACUUAAGA